AACGAACGCUGGCGGCAUGCAUAUCACAUGCAAGUCGAACGAGAUCUUCGGGUCUAGUGGCGCACGGGUGCGUAACGCGUGGGAAUCUGCCCUUUGGUUCGGAAUAACAGUUGGAAACGACUGCUAAUACCGGAUGAUGACGAAAGUCCAAAGACUUAUCGCCAGAGGAUGAGCCCGCGUAGGAUUAGCUAGUUGGUGUGGUAAAGGCGCACCAAGGCGACGAUCCUUAGCUGGUCUGAGGGGAUGAUCAGCCACACUGGGACUGAGACACGGCCCAGACUCCUACGGGAGGCAGCAGUGGGGAAUAUUGGACAAUGGGCGAAAGCCUGAUCCAGCAAUGCCGCGUGAGCGAUGGAGGCCUUAGGGUUGUAAAGCUCCUUUACCCGGGAUGAUAAUGACAGUACCGGGAGAAUAAGCUCCGGCUAACUCCGUGCCAGCAGCCGCAGUAA
rnacentral:rRNA from 1 species